ACAUUUUCCCCUUGAGUACCCCUGAACUCAGUCCACGAUUUAAGAGCUGUUAAGCCAGCAGCUCUUUUAGACGCCUGUGAUGUGGACGAAGUUGGGGUUAGAAUAUUUGGCCUAGCAUGCUCUAACGCCUGUUUAUAAGCAUUAUAAAUAAUUUGAGCAUUCACUUUAAUUUAUGCUUGCGCAUCAGAUAGUGUAGCCAUUUCUUCUUCAUCAAGAUCUAAAGCUUGAUAAAUACUAGAAUACCAAAAGUGAGGUCCUCCUAAUUUCAUAGNNN
rnacentral:lncRNA from 1 species